UACAGAGGUCCCAAGCGUUGUUCGGAUUCAUUGGGCGUAAAGGGCGCGUAGGCGGUCGGCCAAGUCUGGGGUGAAAUCUUUCGGCUCAACCGGAAAAGUGCCCCCGAUACUGGCCGUCUAGAGGGAGGUAGGGGCAUGUGGAACUUCCGGUGGAGCGGUGAAAUGCGUAGAUAUCGGAAGGAACGCCGGUGGCGAAAGCGACGUGCUGGACCUCAUCUGACGCUGAGGCGCGAAAGCCAGGGGAGCAAACGGG
rnacentral:rRNA from 1 species